UUUCUGGUUUUAUGUGGCAUAGAUUUUGUCCUGGUAGCUGGAGUAAAGCGCGUGUUGGUUUUCAUUUACUUAUUGACGUCUGCAAACCGUCUGUGAGUUGCUGAGAGAGACAGAUAGGACCUCCCAUGAACAACUACGCUCUCCCAAUGAUACACACGAAAAAAAGCGUUUAAAAUAAAACUAUAACAUAAUUUUAUGGUCCGAUAGUAAUUUUAUGCGUAUACUUUGCUUUGAUUUGUUGAGAGGUAGGAAUUAAAUUAUCCAUGAAUGGUUCAUCAUUUGGUUGCUUAUGUGGAGUUCUAAAACCUGUCAUUUCGAUAUUGACAACUGGUCCCAAUGUGAAAGUACUAGCUUGUUGGGAUGGUGAUACUAUAGAGGGCUGGAGUAAUAAAAGCAGCUUGAAGAACAUGAGGCAAGAUUAGUCACUUCUUCCAUCACUGAAAAAGGCAGAUGAAUGCAGCAUGCUGAUCAUGAACUAAAAGCAUAGUAAAUCAUCAGAAUGAAGACAUCAGGAAUAGAAAAAGUGGGUGGAAGAGGAAAGUGAAUGGGAGAGUUAUGGGAGGUGCAUCAUUGGUCCGCUUUCGUAGCUGCUGCAAAUUAAGUGGGAGAAGAGGAAAGGAGUUUGCAUCAGUAAACAUUCUUCAGUUUCUGUUGAAAUGACUAAGUGUACCUCCUCGCAUCAGUCAAGAUAUUAAGGUUGGACUUGAGAAUCAUCCCGCUCUUCUCAGCAUUUUCUUCCUCAGUGCUUCAUCCUUUUGGUCCUGAGGUUUGAGCAAACCCACUGACACAAGUGCUUGUUAAUUAGAAAGAAGUAUUGGUGAAAUCAUCUUGAAGGUUACAUCACUGGAUCAGGAAAUGCAUGCAUGAUGUCAUGAAGAAGAAGGGGACUGUUGUAAGGAUGUGCUGCAGGUGCUGAUGGGAAGUCAUCCAACAUGCGUGCACAUGAUGUUGGAGGAAGACGACGCUUCGAGGACAAUGAGUUCACACUGCGCAUUUACCCUGGUAGCAUUGCAGAAGGGACAAUUUAUUGCCCUGUUGCAGCCAGGAAGAGCACCACGGCUGCAGAGGUCAUUGACUCUGUCAUCGUUAAGUUGCAGCUGGACAAAAUCAAAUGCUAUGUCUUGGCCGAGGUAAAGGAGUUCGGGGGAGAAGAAUG